rnacentral:rRNA from 1 species
CUCGUAGGCGGUUUGUCGCGUCUGCCGUGAAAACUGGAGGCUCAACCUCCAGCCUGCGGUGGGUACGGGCAAACUAGAGUGCGGUAGGGGAGAUUGGAAUUCCUGAUGUAGCGGUGGAAUGCGCAGAUAUCAGGAGGAACACCGAUGGCGAAGGCAGAUCUCUGGGCCGUAACUGACGCUGAGGAGCGAAAGCAUGGGGAGCGAACA